AGAGUUUGAUCCUGGCUCAGAUUGAACGCUGGCGGCAUGCCUUACACAUGCAAGUCGAACGGCAGCAUGAUCUAGCUUGCUAGAUUGAUGGCGAGUGGCGAACGGGUGAGUAAUACAUCGGAACGUGCCCUGUAGUGGGGGAUAACUAGUCGAAAGAUUAGCUAAUACCGCAUACGAUCUGAGGGUGAAAGUGGGGGACCGCAAGGCCUCAUGCUAUAGGAGCGGCCGAUGUCUGAUUAGCUAGUUGGUGGGGUAAAGGCCCACCAAGGCGACGAUCAGUAGCUGGUCUGAGAGGACGAUCAGCCACACUGGGACUGAGACACGGCCCAGACUCCUACGGGAGGCAGCAGUGGGGAAUUUUGGACAAUGGGCGAAGGCCUGAUCCAGCAAUGCCGCGUGUGUGAAGAAGGCCUUCGGGUUGUAAAGCACUUUUGUCCGGAAAGAAAUGGCUCUGGUUAAUACCUGGGGUCGAUGACGGUACCGGAAGAAUAAGGACCGGCUAACUACGUGCCAGCAGCCGCGGUAAU
rnacentral:rRNA from 1 species